UUCCUACGGGGCGCAGCAGUAGGGAAUAUUGCUCAGUGGGGGAAACCCUGAAGCAGCAACGCCGCGUGGAGGAUGAAGGUUUUCGGAUUGUAAACUCCUUUUGUUAGAGAAGAUAAUGACGGUAUCUAACGAAUGAGCACCGGCUAACUCCGUUCCAGCAGCCGCGGUAAUACGGAGGGUGCAGGCGUUACUCGGAAUCACUGGGCGUAAAGAGCGCGUAGUCGGGAUAGCAAGUCAGAUGUGAAAUCCUAUGGCUUAACCAUAGUACUGCAUUUGACACUGUUAUUCUAGAGUAUGGGAGAGGG
rnacentral:rRNA from 1 species